AUUGAACGCUGGCGGCAUGCCUUACACAUGCAAGUCGAACGGCAUCGCGGGAAAGCUUGCUUUCCUGGCGGCGAGUGGCGAACGGGUGAGUAACACAUCGGAACGUACCGGCUAGUGGGGGAUAACCCGUCGAAAGACGGGCUAAUACCGCAUACGCUCUUCGGAGGAAAGCAGGGGACCUUUGGGCCUUGCGCUAGUCGAGCGGCCGAUGUCCGAUUAGCUAGUUGGUGGGGUAAAGGCCUACCAAGGCGACGAUCGGUAGCGGGUCUGAGAGGACGAUCCGCCACACUGGGACUGAGACACGGCCCAGACUCCUACGGGAGGCAGCAGUGGGGAAUCUUGGACAAUGGGGGCAACCCUGAUCCAGCAAUGCCGCGUGGGUGAAGAAGGCCUUCGGGUUGUAAAGCCCUUUCGGCAGGGAAGAUAUCGGCGGGGCGAAUAACCCUGCUGGAUGACGGUACCUGCAGAAGAAGCACCGGCUAACUACGUG
rnacentral:rRNA from 1 species